rnacentral:rRNA from 1 species
UAGCAUAUAAGUAGGCGGUGGAAAACAAACCAAAUGGGAUUCUUCAAGUAAUGGCGAAUGAACUUAGACGUGCUCAACUUGAAAAACACAGUGCUGCUGUUUGACAUGUAAUUUCAAAAUGUACAACCAAUUGGCAUGCAAGUGGAAGCUCAUUGAAAGAAUGCAUCAAAGAGGGUGAAAAUCCAUUUUGCCAUUUGCAAUGUUGUUGUUUAUGGUGUAUGCUUCAUGAGUCACAUUCCUUGGCAUUGGAAUGCAAUGUGGGUGGUAAAUUUCAUGCAAAGAACAAUAUAUGGUUGAGAUUGAUAGCACACAAGUACCAUGAGGGAAAUAUGAAAAGGACUUUGAAAAGAGAUUUAAAAGAGUUUGCAGUUGCUGAACAAAAAACAAAUAGGAUGUCAUUUAUUGAACAGAUUGUUGUAUCAUUGCUUGCUUCUGCGGUAACCUUGUGUGUAACCAAUGAUUCUUGUCUUUGUGUGCCAUGCCAAUCUUAGCCAAUCAUGACCGAUGCAUGCGUAUGGUGUUUUGCUUGCGAACUUAUGAAAACGUGUGCUUGACCUGGUUUGCUAAAUGUGUACUGUGCUUGGUGUUGUCAUGCUGCUUGUGUUAAGACCUGAUUGAACUGCACAUGCUGAGCCAUGUUUGCCUUUUGCAUAUGCUUAUUGGUGACAUGUUCUGCUUGACCCGUCUUGAAACACGGACCAAGGAGUCUAACAGAUGUGCAAGCUUUGAAAUGUUAUCUUGCUAAAAUCAAUGAAAAUAAGUGCUGGGAUUUUUGCACCAGCAACCAACUGAUUGGUGGACAAAGCCUUGAGUUUGAGCAUAUUUAUUAGGACCCGAAAGAUGGUGAACUAUGCCUGAAAAGAAUGAAUUCAGAGGAAACUCUGACGGAAGUUCGUAUCAUAU